CCUUUGAUAGCUCAGCUGGUAGAGCGGAGGACUGUAGAUCCUUAGGUUGCUGGUUCAACUCCGGCUUGAAGGA